GUAGGUGGCGGGCGUUGUCCGGGAAUUAUUGGGGCGUAAAAGCGCGCGCAGGCGGUUCUUUAAGUCUGAUGUGAAAGCCCACGGGCUCAACCGUGGAGGGUCAUUGGAAACUGGUGAACUUGAGUACAGAAGAGGAAAGCGGAAUUCCACGUGUAGCGGUGAAAUGCGUAGAGAUGUGGAGGAACACCAGUGGCGAAGGCGGCUUUCUGGUCUGUAACUGACGCUGAGGCGCGAAAGCGUGGGGAGCAAACAGGAUUAGAUACCCUGGUAGUCCACGCCGUAAACGAUGAGUGCUAAGUGUUAGGGGGUUUCCGCCCCUUAGUGCUGCAGCUAACGCAUUAAGCACUCCGCCUGGGGAGUACGGCCGCAAAGGCUGA
rnacentral:rRNA from 1 species